CCCCCCCCCCCCCCCCCCCCCCCCCCCCCCCCCCCCCCCCCCCCCCCCAGAAGGAGAGGCUGGGGAGGGAGAGGGAGAUGUUGGGGAUGGAGAAAGAGAAGAUGGGGAUGGAGAAGGAGAGGAUGGGGAGGGAGAAGGAGAGGAUGGGGAUGGGAAAAGGAAGGAUGAGCAAGUGGAAAAGAGGCUGGGGAUGGAGAGAGGGAGGAUGGGGAUGGAAAAAGGGAGAAUGGGCAAGUGGGAGGAGAGGUUGGGGAUGAAGAAGGAGAGGAUGGGGAAGUGGAAAAAGAGGCUGGGGAUGGAGAAAGGGAGGAUGGGGAUGGAAAAAGAGAAUGGGGAAGUGGAAAGAGAAGCCGGAGAUGGAGAAAGGGAGGGUGGGGAUGGGUAAGGGGAGGCUGGGAAGAGAGAAGGAGAGGCUGGGAAUGGCGACGCUCUUCCGAUCUGGGAAGAGAGAAGGAGAGGCUGGGAAUGGAGAAAGGAAGGAUGGGAAUGGAGAGGGGGACACGGGAAGGAAUAAAGGAGGUUGUAGAUAAAGAAAGGGAGGGAGGAUGGGGAUGGAGAAAUAGAGGAUGGGAGGGAGGGAGGACGAGGAGGGAUGUCACGACACGGGGCUGACACGGGGCUCCCCGCCUGAGCUUCACCCCGGGAGCCUCCCCGGCUUUGCGAGGACUCGGGUACCCAGCCUUCCUCCGUACCCCGAUGGGGGGUCCCCGCUCGGGACAUCCCCCCGGGCUCUGCGGGCAUCGAGGCAAGGGCUGCACGCCCACCCCACUGCCCGCUGCCCCCGGGGGUCCCAGCCCCACGGGCUCCAUCCCCAGCAGCACAGGGCCGGGUUCCUGCUCCUCCCGAUGGCUCAUCCCGCUCGCUGGCCCCGCAGCCGGGCUUGGAGGGUGCAGGUGAGCAUCCCCUGUGCCCCCUCCCCGGGAGAGAGCGGGGCUGGAGCUGCUGCACCCCGCAGCCGGGCUUGGAGGGUGAAGGUGAGCAUCCCCUGUGCCCCCUCCCCGGGAGAGAGCGGGGCUGGAGCUGCUGCACUGCAGCGCCGAGCCCCAUCCGCGCCUCUGGGUGUGCCCGGGAGGAGCAGGGACCCUCUGUGCCCCCCCAGCCCCUCCUCGGAGCCGAGGCGACAGCCUGGGGACCUGUGGCUGCCAGCGGCCCCCCAGGCCAAUGAUCCCUGUGCUCCAGAGGAGGGUGUUGGGCUGCUGGAUGCUCCAGACCCUCCAGGGCAUCCCCCUGGGCAUUCCUGA
rnacentral:lncRNA from 1 species